AAACUGUCCAAGAAGGAGAAAGAAGAGAAAGGGGCAGAAAAUUUAUCUGAAGAAAUAAUGGCUGACAACGACCCUAACCUGGGAAAGGAAACAGUCAUUCAGAUCCAGGAAGCCCUGGGAGUUUCAAUAAGAUAAACCAAAG